rnacentral:rRNA from 1 species
UACGUAGGGGGCAAGCGUUGUCCGGAUUUAUUGGGCGUAAAGAGCUCGUAGGCGGUCUGUCGCGUCGGCUGUGAAACCCCGAGGCUCAACCUCGGGCCUGCAGUCGAUACGGGCAGACUAGAGUGUGGUAGGGGAGACUGGAAUUCCUGGUGUAGCGGUGAAAUGCGCAGAUAUCAGGAGGAACACCGGUGGCGAAGGCGGGUCUCUGGGCCAUAACUGACGCUGAGGAGCGAAAGCGUGGGGAGCGAACAGG